GGCAGUUUGUUGCAACAAGCUCUUGACCUUCAGGGAGGAGACAUUGUCUUUAACAUGUAGAAAUUCUUUACUUGAGGCUUGCACAAGAUUCAGACAGAGGCCCACAGGAAUCAUAUCUACUGUGUGAGGAAAGCUGCCUGUGGCACUGAUCUAAAUGAUAAAUGGAGAGAAGUCAAAAGAGACAAGGAAAGGAAUAUGCAGAAGCAAGAGGAUGUUUGGGAAAAGACUGUAAGUCAUUCUUCCACUUGGUUUUGGAAGGGUAACUUACAUGGCUGCCACCAGAAGCUGAUUGUAAAAGCUACAGACAUCACAGCUUUUGUGCCUACUAUUUUUUGCCCCUAUAUCAUAUUGUCCUAUUCCUUACAUCCUAUCGCUCACAGGAAUUUGUUGAACACUAGUUCUUAGCUGGAGAGCUAGAAGUACAAGAUGUGAAUGUGGAGCUCCCUGGCCUGGCCCUAAUGAAGCUUGCUAUCUAAAGAAAAUAUAGUUGACCUUUGAAUAAUAUGGGAUUGAGUGGUAUGGGGCCAUUUACAUGUGGAUUUUUUUUGCAAUAAAAACAAUACCAUAAAUGAUUUUUUCUUCUUU
rnacentral:lncRNA from 1 species